AACUUUCAACAACGGAUCUCUUGGUUCUGGCAUCGAUGAAGAACGCAGCGAAAUGCGAUAAGUAGUGUGAAUUGCAGAAUUCAGUGAAUCAUCGAAUCUUUGAACGCACAUUGCGCCCUUUGGUAUUCCAAAGGGCAUGCCUGUUCGAGCGUCAUUUGUACCCUCAAGC
rnacentral:rRNA from 1 species